CCUUGGACGGCAACAAAAAAACAAACAGAUUUACUGAGGUCACAAAUAAUUUCCAUACGGCAUAUUGAAGAGAACAAAAGAUGAAAAGCUUGUAUCUCUUUGUCGCGAUCCUACUUGGGAUCUUAGGAAAUCCUCAGUUUGUAAAAAUCAAAGUGGUUAAAGGAAACGACCCAGGAUUAUGUUAUAAAAAUAGCAGUGAAAAGAUGACGCUGGUUCGUGAUCGACAAAACAUACCUAAACUCUUGAUAUGUUCAAAUGUCAACGGUGUUUUUUCAUGGAGAACAGUAGACGGCUCUAGUUCUCCAGGAGAAUUUUUCAACCCAGUAUACGACUGCU